GCGGAUGUGGCGGAACUGGCAGACGCGCUAGAUUUAGGUUCUAGUGUCUUUUGGACAUGGGGGUUCGAGUCCCUUCAUCCGCA
rnacentral:tRNA from 1 species